rnacentral:rRNA from 1 species
CCGGUCAUAAACCGGAGGAAGUGGGGAUGACGUCAAGUCAGCAUGGCCUUUAUAUCCUGGGCUACACACACGCUACAAUGGGAAGGGACAAUAGGUUGCGAAGCCGCGAGGCGGAGCCAAUCCAGCAAAACUUCCCUCAGUUCAGAUUGGCAGGCUGCAACCCGCCUGCAUGAAGUUGGAGUUGCUAGUAAACGCAGGUCAGCCAUACUGCGGUGAAUACGGUUCCCGGGUCUU